CAAGUCCCGAGACGACUAAAAACUCGCUCUGGUCGGGAUGGGUUUAACGACCCCUCGGGUUUCUUGUUUCCUAAAAACAAGUGGUGCGGGUGAUU
rfam:Synechococcus phage S-MbCM7, complete genome.